rnacentral:rRNA from 1 species
CGCAUCUGUGCAUGCAGCAUAUCAAUAAGCGGAGGAAAAGAAACUAACAAGGAUUCCCUUAGUAACGGCGAGUGAAGCGGGAAGAGCUCAAAUUUGAAAUCUUCAAGGUUUUACCUUGACGAAUUGUAGUUUAAAGAAGUGUCUUCUGUUGAAGUUUUGGUAAAAGUUCUUUGGAAUAGGACAUCAUAGAGGGUGAGAAUCCCAUAUUUGACCAUUAUUUUCAGCUGUGUGAUACACUUUCAAAGAGUCGGAUUGUUUGGGAAUGCAGUCCAAAAUGGGUGGUAAAUUUCAUCUAAAGCUAAUUAUUGGCGAGAGACCGAUAGCGAACAAGUACCGUGAGGGAAAGAUGAAAAGAACUUUGAAAAGAGAGUUAAACAGUACGUGAAAUUGUCAAAAGGGAAGCGUUUGACACCAGUGUUGUUUUCUCGAAAAUCAAUUAAAAAGAGUUAGAUUUUGUUGUGUAUUGACCUUAACAGCUUGCAUUUCAAUUUUCUUGCUUUUUUUAAUGCACUUUUCGUUUAACAAGUCAACAUCAGUUUCUUUUGUUGUAAAAAGGUCAUUGGAAGGUGGCUUUCUUUUCGGAGAAAGUGUUUAUAGCCUUUGACUCCUGCAAUCGGAGAGACUGAGGUCUGCAGCGUAGAUCCUUCGGGGUUAGAUACAUUUGUGCUAAGUUAUAGCUUUUUAUAGACAACUUGUUGACUAUGAUUAGUCUUGUAGCUUACUCGCUUAUGCUAUUUUACCUACGCUUAGGAUGUUGAACUCUAUCACACACAG